UGGGAUAAUACUAAUAAAGGGUUACACAAAUGAAAAACAAAUGAAAACAGCUUGAUGUUCAUUUUAGAACUUUGCUCUCAGAAGUAUAUAAACAGCUUGAUCUAGCAGUCAUAAACCAAUAACGUAAAGAACAGAGAAUGUAGAUAGAUUGAAGAUGAAGAAGCCAUCUUGUUUUUGUACUAUUUUUACACAGGUGUCUCUUUGCUUUGCUCUCUACCUUGCUCUCAACUUGGGUCAGCCUAUUUACAGCAAGAGAAGUGAUAGUAGAGCUCUUGAUCUUUACUUUAUCAGUGUUAGAGGGGGUUUCAGACCUCUUAAGCAACAAACCCAGCUUCUAAAACUGAUGGAGAAAGUGGCAAAGGUUUACAAUGUGAGUUUUGUGGUGAACACUAGUGAGCUGGGAGAAGACGAUCCACUUAUGCAGAAUGGUACCAUGCUUUUCCCAUCACUGAAAGUUCCCUGGUUUACUACUAGAACAUCUAAAGGACAUGGAGAAAGUUACUUCCAUGAGCAGAUAAAGAUACCUUUCGGGAAUACUUUAGACAUUAUUGGUGUGGAUACUGGGUCAUUGCAGGAUUCAAUGCUUACAGGACCAUCAAGGGAAAUUGGACAAAAUCAGUUACAUUGGCUGACAAAGACACUAGAAGCAACCAGUAGUAACUGGCGUAUGGUUGUUGGAUUCCACCCGCUGGUUGUUUGUGAAGAGAACAAAGAGCAAGUGGAGGCAAAGCAAUUUUAUGAGCCUCUACGCCAUAUUUUUGUGAAAUUUGGAGUUAAUGUGUACCUAAGUGGGCAGGGUUGUUCUAAACAUGUCAAUCAUGUUAAUGUAGCUUACAUUGGGAAUCCAACCCCAAGAGAGAAUGAAUCAUAUUUUACAUCUGUGAAGGGAAAGUAAGUCUUUAAUGGAGAAUUGGUUAAUGGGUUUCUUCUUCACAGUGUCAGCUCACUAGAGAUUGUAAUCUACUUUAUUAACUCGGCUGGGGAAGUUGUGCAUAAAACUGUACUCCAACAGACGGGGAAGGAGGUGAUGUAAAAUUUUUAUUUGAAGCCAUGAUAAAUUUGCUUCAAUGUUUUUCCCCCACAUUUACUUGAAUUGUCCCCCAAUCCGCAAAAAUAUUUCCCAUGUAGAUGCCUUUUGUCUUCAGUAGGCUUUCAACCCUCUGACAUUAUAGGUCCAAGUGAUAAUUCAGCUUGAAUUUUUUUUUUCCUUGUUGGUGUAAACUUGCAAUUUGUUUCUUAUUAUAAAUAGUACCUUUAGCAAGA